AGGACGAUCCUGGCAGCAGCAGUACAGAGAAAACACAGCUAGGUGGAGCUACAGCCUCUCAGAAUGCCACAGGCUUUCAAUGGAAAGUGAAGGAAGAGAAUGGCUUUGACGGCGAACAUUCACAUCAUUUCACAGUGAAAUUC